GACGAACGCUGGCGGCGUGCCUAAUACAUGCAAGUUGAGCGCUGAAGGUUGGUACUUGUACCAACUGGAUGAGCAGCGAACGGGUGAGUAACGCGUGGGGAAUCUGCCUUUGAGCGGGGGACAACAUUUGGAAACGAAUGCUAAUACCGCAUAAAAACUUUAAACACAAGUUUUAAGUUUGAAAGAUGCAAUUGCAUCACUCAAAGAUGAUCCCGCGUUGUAUUAGCUAGUUGGUGAGGUAAAGGCUCACCAAGGCGAUGAUACAUAGCCGACCUGAGAGGGGUGUCGGCCACAUCGGGACUGGGACAAGGGCCAAACUCCUACGGGAGGCAGCAGGAGGGAAUCUUCGGCAAUGGAGGAAAGUCUGGCCGAGCAACGCCGCGUGAGUGAAGAAGGGUUUCGGAUCGUAAAACUCUGUUGGUAGAGAAGAACGUUGGUGAGAGUGGAAAGCUCAUCAAGUGACGGUAACUACCCAGAAAGGGACGGCUAACUACGUG
rnacentral:rRNA from 1 species